UACAGAGGUCCCAAGCGUUGUUCGGCUUCACUGGGCGUAAAGGGUGCGUAGGCGGUCGGGUAAGUCUGAUGUGAAAUCUCACAGCUUAACUGUGAAACUGCAUUGGAUACUAUCCGGCUCGAGGAAUGGAGGGGAGACUGGAAUACUUGGUGUAGCAGUGAAAUGCGUAGAUAUCAAGUGGAACACCAGUGGCGAAGGCGAGUCUCUGGACAUUUCCUGACGCUGAGGCACGAAAGCCAGGGGAGCAAACGGG
rnacentral:rRNA from 1 species